rnacentral:rRNA from 1 species
UACGUAGGGCGCAAGCGUUGUCCGGAAUUAUUGGGCGUAAAGAGCUCGUAGGCGGUUUGGCGCGUCUGCUGUGAAAACCUAAGGCUCAACCUUGGGCUUGCAGUGGGUACGGGCAGACUAGAGUGCGGUAGGGGUGACUGGAAUUCAUGGUGUAGGGGUGAAAUGCGUAGAUAUCAUGAGGAACAUCUGUGGCGAAGGCGAAUCUCUGGCUCGUUUCUGACACUGAGACGCGAAAGCGUGGGGAGCAAACAGG